UCCCAGGAGAAAUGGGCAGGCUCCUGGGGGCUUUGUUGUUGAUUUUGUGUCUUCAGCUACAGCGGGUGAAUAGUCAACAGAAGGAUGGUGAGCAGCAACAGGUGAAGCAGAAUUCUCCAUCCCUGAGUGUGCAAGAAGGAGGAAUUUCUAUUCUGAACUGUGACUACAAUAAUAAUUUGUUUGAUUACUUCGCAUGGUACAAAAAAUACCCUGCUAAAGGUCCUGUGUUUCUGAUAGCAACACGUUCAGUUGCGGGCAAAAAGGAAGAUGGAAGAUUCACAGCCCUCCACAAUGUAAGUGCCAAACAUCUCUCUCUGCACAUUGAGCGCUCACAGAUUGGAGACUCCGCCUUGUACCUCUGCGGAGCAAGUACACAGUGCUCUCCAGGCACCUGCGGCCUGUACUCAAACCUGCAGCUGGGGCCAAGCUAA